AAAGGUUUUUGUCUGAGGUCACGGUGAGUUUGUAUCACUGUGGCACACAUUCGGAGGAGGAACCAGACUUGAAGUUAACUUGGGUCAAGUGCCACCAUCACUGAUGGUUGUACCCCCCUCCAGUGAGGAGUUGCAACAGGGGAAGGCCACCCUCAUGUGUCUGGCCAACAAGGGCUUCCCCUCAGGCUGGAGUCUGUCCUGGAAGGUGGACGGCGGCAGCAGCAGCAGCAGCUGGAAGCAGAGCAGGAGCCCCGGGGUGCUGCAGAAGGACGGCCUCUACAGCUGGAGCAGCACCCUGAGGCUCCCUGCAGACCAGUGGAGGAAGGUGGGCUCUGUGACCUGUGAGGCCACCCAGGGCUCCCAGACUGCAGUCACAGAGUCCCUGAGGAGAGACCAGUGUUCCCAGUCCUGAGCAGAUUCACUAGAAUUAUUGCUUUGUCUGUGUUCCUUAAGAUUUGUUUAGUUUUAUUUGUACCCAGUAGUUCUUGGAAAGCUGUUUCAACAUGAAUUUUCAUUUGCUUUCAUUACUUUCAAAAAUAAAUCUCUUUGCACAAGUGCUUCAGAGAAAACCUUCAAUAAACAUAAUCUGAAAACUGUUCUUGUGUGAAUUUACCAUAUGUUUAGGACAAAGUCUAAAAUGCAUUUUAUUUUCCACAUUGAUCAAAAUCAAUUUAUUAAACACAUAAUCCUA